UAUUCCCAAACCUUCAUUUUCUCUCUCUUUUUUUUUUUUUACUUUCAUAAACUCUAAAUCUUAUUUUUUUUACUUUCCCCAAACCCUCAUUUUUUUACUCUCGACGGAAAUCUUUCCCCAAACCCUCGUUUUCUCAUCUGACCAGAAGUUCUUCUAUAACCGGAGACAGCGCCAUCGAUCUAUGACUGGAAGUUCUUCCCUUGCGUGCAUCUGAAGGUGGGAAUCGCCCUCUGUACGGAAAUUCUUCUCUCGACCUCAUUCACUGCAGGUAUUCAGAUAGAUACUCCAACUUUUUUUUCUUUAUCCCUUUAGGUUUCAUUCUGAUCUGGGAUAGGUCUGAUCUGGAAUAGGUCUGAUCUGGAAUAUCCAUAUGGUUUGAUGACUUGAUCCACUAACAUAACUCAGUUAGUGCCAGCUGGAAUUGCCUUGUGCGUAUAACAACAUUUGAAGAAUAGGUGGGAAUCCGUCUCUUAUUCUCAGUUGCAAAUCAUGCAAGUAAUGUUCUGAAUAUUGGCGCCCCAUUGCUGCAAUUUAUUGAAUGCUGUGAUGAAAUGAAACCCCACCUAACCCUCUGUAGUAGCAGUGAAAAUUUAGUAGGCAUUUUCCCCUUGUUUUUGAGCAUUUCAAUGUAGGAAUUUGGUGGGCAGUUUCACCAGAGUGUUAUUGGUAAGGCAUUGUAGACAUUUUCUGAUUUUUACUGAAUUUGGUGGGAUCGGCCAUGAUAGCUUUCAACAUUGCAGAAUUAGUGGAUUGAUUGACCGUAAUGUCUUCAAUACAUUGGUUUUGUAAAUAUCUUUCUUUAACUCAAUUUUCUUUUACAGAUUAGUUUGCCCCCCCAAAAUUUUCCAGCUUUUUUGACUGAGUAUAUGUCACACAGCCUUUAUAUUGUUGUUAUAGGCAAAUAGGCUAAUUAAUACUCGCUUUCAACCGAAUGAUUCUUAACCAAACCAUUUGACCAAUAAUUCUAUUAUUUCUAUAUAAGUUUUUGGAUUCAAUUAAAUAAAAUGUUUAAAUUUUCAGUGUACUGCCAAUAUAUUAGUAUUUAGUAAACUAUUUUCUUCUUCUUCUUCUUCCAUUCAUCCAUCCAUCCAUUUGCAAUAAUAUGAUCUGGUCCUGUAUUUUAAUUGUUAUGACUCACAAGUCAUAUUGAUACAUCUUUCUUAUUUUUCCACCUUUCUGUUCAGCCAAAUCUAAAUAUUUGGAUGCAUAAAUCGAUGAUUUUUUUGAAACCAGAAGCCUUGUUUCAACUUAUGAAACUCCUUUUCAACCAUUUCUAAUGGGUUGCAUUCAAUUAAAAUUAAAAUUCUUAUCUUGCGACUCCUUUUCGUCUUUCUAUUUUUUUCCCACCUUCCUAUAUCUGUACAAUCCUUCCUGCGAAUACUGUUUUUUUUUCCUGUAAAUUCUGAAGUUUUUUUUUUUUUUUUUUUUUGAAGCAAUUAAAUUUCAUUAGAAUAAGGCUAAUGCCAAGUUUACAAAAUAGAGAAUAGGAAUAAAAUAGAAGUAAAAAAGAAAUGAGCAAAAUGCUCAUUAACUCUCUCCCAUUAGCUAUGUAGUCUAAUUAUACAGUAACUAGAUACGCUGCCUCAGAAGGUUGGUCUCCCAUACUUCCAUCAUAGAUAUCUCCAAAGGGUGACAACAGCUCUUCUUGUAAUACACUGAAUCAAAGGAGAGACUGAUGUCUUUAAUGACCUCCUUAAGGACUACCUCAGGAAGUCUACUAAUGUGCUGCCUAUACCUUUUAUUUCUUUCCGUCCAUAUAUGCCACGACAAGCACCCAAUAGCAUUCCAUAUUAACCCCCAAGGGGGGGAGUGGCGCGUAAUCUUUUGUGCUGCUUCCGUCAGAUCCCCCAAUCUAAUAUCUGGACUUGAUUGGGUAGGAACUGGAAUAUUCAUUAUUUUCCAGAAAGCGAAAUCCAGCUGUUCCGCCAACGAAAUUAAGAGAGAUCUGGAAUAAGAACAGUUAGAGAAAAGAUGACUCCUAGUUUCAUCUUCCAGAUUACACAAUAAGCAAGCAGGAGGUACUUGUACUCUCCAAUUUCUUAAUUUCCUGAACGUGUUUAGAUGAUCCCAUUUCACCCUCCACAAGAGAAUAAAGAAUUUUGUCGGCAUCUUCGACCAAAUUCCCUCAGCUAACAUGUCUUUAUGCUUUCUAUCUCUAAUACUUUCCACUAUUCCCCCCAAUUUAUUUAUCGGACUACCAGAUCUCCACAUAAUCGUACUAUUCGCUCUACAAUCCAAACAUUUAUCCACUAGGUUUCUUUCUGAAACAAAAACUUUCCAAAAAUGCGAAUCCACAGUAGGUCUGAUUUGUAUAUCAUUAAACGCCUUUCCUUUAAUAUACCUAUCUUGGAUCCAUUUUACCAGAAUAGAAUCGCUCUUAUCCCAGUACUUUGAAGCUCUUUUAAUAUUGGUUGCAGUGGUGAUAAUAGGAAGGUCUCUAACCCCUAGACCCCCUUCCGACUNNNNNNNNNNNNNNNNNNNNNNNNNNNNNNNNNNNNNNNNNNNNNNNNNNNNNNNNNNNNNNNNNNNNNNNNNNNNNNNNNNNNNNNNNNNNNNNNNNNNCUUGCGCCCAAUAAGUAUACUUUCCGGCUAUAAUCCAGUUAACUAAUUGUAUUCUCCCUCCAUAGGAAAGACAUUUCCCACUCCAUCUUGCUAGGAGCGCCUCUAUAGACUGGAUUAGCUUCCAGCACUGUCCAAAUGACUUUUUCUUUCCCGUGAUUGGUAACCCUAGAUAUGUUAUAGGUAGACUUUUAACAGUAUAUCCUAAGAUAUUAUGUAAAGAUAUUAUGUAAGUUAUCCAAAGGUGCUAGGUCAUUAUUGUUAUCACUAAAAUGACCUAGCACGAGUAAUAGCAAGAAGCUUUCCUGGUCUGCAGAUAUUAAAAAUCGGUGAUUUAAUGCUUAAUGACGAUGGCUUUCUUUCUAUCCAGACGGACCAUGGGCCAAACAGGCCCACAUAGGUUUCCUAUAUAUGCCUCUCUUGCCUCAACAAGGGAGGUUGAUAAUCUUGAAGAGAGUAAUCAGAGAGUUGUGUGUGUGAACUUCACAAGUCCACACACCAUCAUUGAUAUCGACAAUUGCCCUUUACUUGCUAUUGGAGAAUAAGUGAGAAAUAGAAUUGAAAAUAUAUAUCAACCUGAAAUAAUGACGAUAGAUUUUCAUUGAAUUACGUUGAUAAUUACGAUGAUGGUUACAAUCCUUAUUAUGGUUUAACUUAUGGACAAAUGUAGUUGCUUCCCUGUUGGUAAUUACUCGAUCUAAUAUUGGUUUCAUUUUAUUGUGUGUUUUUGAAAAUCAACUGAUAUGAUUUUUUUAAUUCUAGGUUUGAAAUCUCCUAAUGCUGCACAUAUAUUGAAGUCAAUAACUGUGAAAGAUUGAACUCAUAUAUUUUGGAACUUUUCCAAUGAAAUUUUGCAAUUAAAUAACGACAAUGCAUGCAAAUCUCAUAGGGUUUAUAGACAGAGGGUAACUUAUCUUGAUUUUUCAGUAUCAUCAGUAUUGCAAAUUAUGCUACAAAUAUAUUUUGUAUGUAUUGGCAAUUUAAAAAGGGUCUAUAUGUAAUUUUUAAUUAUAUAGGGGGGUUAAAUAUAAUUUUUACACUAUAUUAAUACACAGAAUUCCUGGGUUUUAGCUUCGCGUCGCUGAAAAACUAGCGACGAUAUUGGUUAUCAUCGGUGAAAAAUUAGCGAUGAUUCAAUAUCGUUGCUAAAAUAUGGUCGUGGUUUUUUUGACGCAAUAAAAAUAUUAUCAUCGUUAAAUCGUCG
rnacentral:lncRNA from 1 species